rnacentral:lncRNA from 1 species
UUUUUUCUUUCUUUUUUUCUUUUGAAGAUCUUUAAUGGACUGUUGGUUCAAGUGGCGGUUGCUGAUGGACGAAGAGAAAUAAAGGAGGGGGGGGGCUGGAAAAAAGAAAAGAAAUACAAAAAAGGGGGUUUAUUACGUCGUUCCCACCCCUGCAAAGAAGUUUUAAAAAAGGUGUUAGAUAAUAAUAUAUAUACUUUUUACGAAUACAUGGAUUAAAACAUAUAAAUACACCAACAUUUCAAACAAAAACAUUUCAAAGACACUGAUGAGGACGUGUUAGGCAUUGGGGUGAGUACAUCAGUACUGGUCAAAUAAGGCACAUCAUAUAAUGCAACCAUCUGCAACGUAUUAACAUGAUCUUUUGUAAAGAAUUAAUGCUUUCAUGAAAGGAAACACCUUUGGUAUGUUUUUAGUGGUUAUUUUGCAUAUGUUACAGUGUGUGGCCACCACA